rnacentral:rRNA from 1 species
GAUGAACGCUGGCGGCGUGCCUAAUACAUGCAAGUCGAGCGAACGGACGAGAAGCUUGCUUCUCUGAUGUUAGCGGCGGACGGGUGAGUAACACGUGGAUAACCUACCUAUAAGACUGGGAUAACUUCGGGAAACCGUAGCUAAUACCGGAUAAUAUUUUGAACCGCAGGGUUCAAAAGUGAAAGACGGUCUUGCUGUCACUUAUAGAUGGAUCCGCGCUGCAUUAGCUAGUUGGUAAGGUAACGGCUUACCAAGGCAACGAUGCAUAGCCGACCUGAGAGGGUGAUCGGCCACACUGGAACUGAGACACGGUCCAGACUCCUACGGGAGGCAGCAGUAGGGAAUCUUCCGCAAUGGGCGAAAGCCUGACGGAGCAACGCCGCGUGAGUGAUGAAGGUCUUCGGAUCUGAAAACUCUGUUAUUAGGGAAGAACAUAUGUGUAAGUAACUGUGCACAUAUUGACGGUACCUAAUCAGAAAGCCACGGCUAACUACGUG